AUAGGUUGAAAUUUAUAUUGAACACAAAACUUGUGAUACGCCAAGUAGAUAGACUAAAUUCUAAAUUGGACCCUAAACUUUAACCCUAAAAUUGAUUUGCAUCCUAAAUUUUAUUUUGAAUUAAAUGCACCUUAAAAUUUGAGUUUCAAUAUAAUUUGUGUCUUUUGUACUAAAAUAUAAGACCUAAGGGUGCAAAUUAUUUUGAAACUCAAAAUAAAUUUAGGGUACAAAUUGGAGAUUACUCUCAGGAUUACUGUACUAAAAAAGUAGGUAAAUUUAACAUUGCAUGGCAAUCAUGUACUACUCCCUCCGUUCCAUAAUAACUGUUUUUUUAGAAGAAAAAAAUUUAUUCUAAUUUAUUUGUCGUUUACAACUUUCUAGGAGAAUAAAUUAUUUAUUUUCCUAUAUCACCCCUACAUUCUCUCAUUGUCCCAAGAAAUUCUCUCCCUUGUAUUAAUAGUUUUCAACUUCC
rnacentral:lncRNA from 1 species